UUAUUUAAGAGUUUGAUCCUGGCUCAGGAUGAACGCUGGCGGCGUGCCUAACACAUGCAAGUCGAGCGGAGUUA
rnacentral:rRNA from 1 species